rnacentral:rRNA from 1 species
GAUGAACGCUGGCGGCGUGCCUAAUACAUGCAAGUCGAGCGAACAGACGAUGAGCUUGCUCCUCUGACGUUAGCGACGGACGGGUGAGUAACACGUGGAUAACCUACCUAUAAGACUGGGAUAACUUCGGGAAACCGGAGCUAAUACCGGAUCAUAUAUUGAACCGCAUGGUUCAAUAGUUCAAGACGGUUUUGCUGUCACUUAUAGAUGAUUCCGCGUCGCAUUAGCUAGUUGGUAAGGUAACGGCUUACCAAGGCAACGAUGCGUAGCCGACCUGAGAGGGUGAUCGGCCACACUGGAACUGAGACACGGUCCAGACUCCUACGGGAGGCAGCAGUAGGGAAUCUUCGGCAAAGGGCGAAAGCCUGACGGAGCAACACCGCGUGAGUGAUGAAGGUCUUCGGAUCGUAAAACUCUGUUAUUAGGGAAGAACAAAUGUGGAAGUAUCUAUGCAUGUCUUGACGGUACCUAAACAGAAAGCCACGGCUAACUACGUG